rnacentral:lncRNA from 1 species
AAAGAGAGAAUUUUGGAAAAUUCCAAAUGCUCAGCUGAAGGGUAGGUUGGUUCCGAAUGGACUCGAGGCCGGAGGAAGUGGCAUUUGAGGCUGGCUUGAAGAUUUAAGGUGAAACCAAGUGAGUGUCUCCUAUUGGGGCAGCAGCCUCUAGGCCAAGGGAGUCAGGAAGGCCACUGCCCAUGACCUUCUUUCCCAUCAAGCCACUUGCACCCGUGACCCAUGUCUCCACCCCUAGGACUUUCUCAUUGACCAAGAGCCUGCAGUAACUCUACCAACAGCUCAAUGGUGUUGCCUCUGAGGUACCUCAGAAAUUGAAGCCCAGAGUGGGGUGCAGGGGCAAGGAAAGUAUGAUAGAAAGAAACUGAGGCAGGGUUUUGCAAGAGAGGACAGAUCCUGGGAGCAGCUGAUUUGCUGCUGGGCAAUGUUGAGGAAGUCGCCUUUUCCCUUAGCCUUCUCCCUUGAAGCUGUUCACGUGAAGGAGUUGGACCACAUGACUGGUUGCAUCAUUUUUUGCUGCAGAAGCACCAGAUGAGAGCUGCUCUGAAGGGAGGGAUGGUGGGGAGAUAAGAACUGUGAGAGAAUUUGGUAC